CUGUUGUGGGAUAAAGUUGGCCAAUUUCAAUUAGAUUUUUGAAAUUAAAAAUGAGAUAGCAGAUAUUUUGGUUCUAGAUCUGCAUAUAAUUUCCUACAUGGCGGUGAAUCAAUCAGUUAUCCAUCAAUCAGUCAGUCAAUCCAUUUAGGGCACAUAUUAUGUUCAUCUCCAUUAUAAGGAAAAGUAAGAGCCAGGAUCCCUACUGCUAUGAGCUUUUAUUCUGUUUAAAUUCACGUUUCAAGUUGCUGAACUUUGGGUUUUUUAAACUGAGACCAGAGUUUUUGGCCUGGGUAACUUACAGAGCUGAUAAGGAAAAGAAAUGGACCAAUGAUGCAAUAAGAGUUUGAAUAAAUGCCUUUAAGAUAUCAAAUUAUUGAGACUUAAAGAGGUUGGCUGGUUUGUUCUAGGGCACUGUGCAUAAAGACAAGCACUUUAAAGUGGAGUGUUCUUAUUUCAAUCAGCGUGUUUUAAUGCUGGGUGAUAUAGGAAGAUGUGUGGGGUGACAUACAUAAUGAAAAGAUUGUAUAUUUUUAAGUGAACAUAUCUGGUAAUGAGGAUGAAAUCCAUGGAGAACCCCAGGGUCUCUUGGCAUCACUGGGAGUCACCACACAGAGGCCUACAGGUCAGUUGUCUCUCCCACUGCACUGGAAAGACACCAUGAACAGCUUUUGAUUUCCUGUCUUCAAUCUGUGGAGGCUUACAGGGCUUUGGGGCCUCUGUGUGUAGACAGUAGCUGGGAAGCUGAGACCCUAGAGAAAAUGGCUGAACAAAAUUGCUCAUCCUAUAAUGACAAGGGUGUGCCCAUCAUUUCCUGGAAGAUUGCCAUGGCUGCUUGGGUCCACAGUGAGUUCUGAAUCUUGGAAUUCUACAGGCAUUGAGGCUGAGAGACAGCAAAUUCAGGUGGGAGCUGGGGCCCUGAAAAACAGUAAAGUUUUGCCCAGCUGAGACCAAAGCAAGAGAUAAGGUGGCACAAAUGUUUAGAGAUUGAGUUCAAAUAGUUGGGGAAGAGGACACCACCAGAUGAGAGAGAAAUGGACCAGUGAAUGGUCUCUGCGAAUCAGACACAGCACCCGUGGGGCUUGCUGAACAAGUGGAAGGGGCAGGGCCAGCACGGGAAACAGCAUUGGAGCUCAGCACCAACUGCUAUAAUUUACUGACUGGGGGCACAGCCAUAAAUGCUUUCACUUGUGGAGAGAGUACGCUAAUUUCAUGAAGAUUUCAUCUCUGAGUGCUGGGUGAUUACAAUAUAGGACAACACUCUUUUAGAAGACUUUACAAUUAGAUGGACUUGAAUCAAUGAUAGACUGGAUUAAGAAAAUGUGGCACAUAUACACUGUAGAAUACUAUGCGGCCAUAAAAAAGGAUGAGUUCAUAUCCUUUGUACAGACACAGAUGAAGCUGGAAACCAUCAUUCUCAGCAAACUAUCGCAAGAACA
rnacentral:lncRNA from 10 species